CCUAAGAAGCAAUAAAUAUUUAUUUUGGGCUUACUUUGGUAUUUAGUUUCCAUUAUGCAAGGGAUGAUUCCUCCUAUAGGGGAGAAAAGACAGGAAAAGUGCUUCUUCCUCCUACUUUGCGGACAUUUUGGAUCCAAAUCCACCCCAUUUUCUUUCUUUAGCUAUUUCCUCUGCUCCUGCUGAACGUCUCCGGCCAAAGAGUAUACAAGGAAAAGUUUUCCUGACUUUUGACAACUGUUUCGAGAGCUCUUUUCCAGAAUAAUAAAAAAAAAAUUUAAAUACCAAAAUAUAUCAAAAUCAAAUUUAUUUAUCAAAUUAAUAUAAAAAAGAAAAAUAUCAUUUUGAAUGGCAUUUUUUCCCCCUCCACGUCAUCCUCCUUUUN
rnacentral:lncRNA from 1 species